ACAUGGGUAGUUCAGUGAUAGAAUUCUCACCUUCUGUGCGAGAGACCCAGGUCUGAUUCCUGGCCAGUGCA
rnacentral:tRNA from 1 species